rnacentral:rRNA from 1 species
AUAACUAGUCAAAAGACUAGCUAAUACCGCAUACGACCUGAGGGUGAAAGUGGGGGACCGCAAGGCCUCAUGCUAUAGGAGCGGCCGAUGUCUGAUUAGCUAGUUGGUGGGGUAAAGGCCCACCAAGGCGACGAUCAGUAGCUGGUCUGAGAGGACGAUCAGCCACACUGGGACUGAGACACGGCCCAGACUCCUACGGGAGGCAGCAGUGGGGAAUUUUGGACAAUGGGGGCAACCCUGAUCCAGCAAUGCCGCGUGUGUGAAGAAGGCCUUCGGGUUGUAAAGCACUUUUGUCCGGAAAGAAAUCGCACUGGUUAAUACCUGGUGUGGAUGACGGUACCGGAAGAAUAAGGACCGGCUAACUACGUGCCAGCAGCCGCGGUAAUACGUAGGGUCCAAGCGUUAAUCGGAAUUACUGGGCGUAAAGCGUGCGCAGGCGGUUGUGCAAGACCGAUGUGAAAUCCCCGGGCUUAACCUGGGAAUUGCAUUGGUGACUGCACGGCUAGAGUGUGUCAGAGGGAGGUAGAAUUCCACGUGUAGCAGUGAAAUGCGUAGAGAUGUGGAGGAAUACCGAUGGCGAAGGCAGCCUCCUGGGAUAACACUGACGCUCAUGCACGAAAGCGUGGGGAGCAAACAGGAUUAGAUACCCUGGUAGUCCACGCCCUAAACGAUGUCACUAGUUGUUGGGGAUUCAUUUCCUUAUUAACGUAGCUAACGCGUGAAGUUGACCGCCUGGGGAGUACGGUCGCAAGAUUAAAACUCCAAGGAAUUGACGGGACCCGCACAAGCGGGGGAUGAUGUGGAUUAAUCCAUGCACCGCGAAAACUUACCUACCCUUG